rnacentral:rRNA from 1 species
AGAGUUUGAUCCUGGCUCAGAGUGAACGCUGGCGGCAGGCCUAACACAUGCAAGUCGAACGGCAGCACAGAGGAGCUUGCUCCUUGGGUGGCGAGUGGCGGACGGGUGAGGAAUGCAUCGGAAUCUGCCUAUUUGUGGGGGAUAACGUAGGGAAACUUACGCUAAUACCGCAUACGACCGAGAGGUGAAAGCGGCGGACCGCAAGGCGUCGCGCGGCUGGAUGAGCCCAUGUCGGAUUAGCUAGUUGGCGGGGUAAAGGCCCACCAAGGCGACGAUCCGUAGCUGGUCUGAGAGGAUGAUCAGCCACACUGGAACUGAGACACGGUCCAGACUCCUACGGGAGGCAGC